CAUUAAGUGGCUGAAACAACUCUUAAGCAUUGGUCUCUUAAACCAAAAAAUGGUAAAUAGUAAAUACUCUUAAUG
rnacentral:tRNA from 1 species